CCAUAGGCGGGACAAACCAAAACCUAAUUCUCAUUUCAAAAUUUAAACCCAGCUUUUUCUUGCUAUAAUUUCUGUCUCUCUCUCUCUCUCUCUCUCAAAAUUCUAGAUCUGAUUACUCUCUAGGUUCAAAUCCUCCCUUCUUCUUCAGGUUUUUUUUAAUGAUGCUGAGAUUUUAGUAGAGAUAUGGAAAAUCUGGUGGGAUUCAUCUGCCGUCGAUUUGAGCUUUAGCUGAGUACAAGACUAGAUCAUCGAGUAAUAUUAAUUAUAUAGGCUUCAAUCCCACUGCCUUUGACGGCGACGAUACAUCAGGAUCUGUUUAUAUGAUAAGAUUGUUGAAUGGAACCAAGAAUCUGUUGCUGUUUUUAAGUUAGAUGGGGUUUUCAGGGAUGUUGCAUUCAUGGUGUUCGAUAGGAAAAGGCACGGUUAGCGUCGGCACCACCUUAUCUGUCUCUAGCACCAAAAUCUAAAAACUUGAGUACCACGCCGCGGUUACCGGAUUGAGUUUUGCAUCAGAAUCUUCAACGGAACCGAUAGAACUUUUGCAGGUAGUUUUCUUGGGCGAUUGGUUAAUCAGCAAUGGUUUUCAUCGUUUGCUCUCUACAUUGGGUUUGGGACGGCACGGGUCAGCAGUUUUUGGUGUGGGUGCAUUUGGGUCAGUUAUACGCUUUGGGGAUAUUUACAAUAUAGCUAAUUAGCUUUUAUAAUUGUAUCAAAAAUUUGUUGUGCAUUAGAUAUGCCCAGCUCAAGCUAUCACUAUUGAAGCUGUGGAACGAGAGGAUGGGAGCCGUAGAACGAGGUAUGAUAUUGACAUGACAAAGUGUAUUUAUUGUGGGAUUUGCCAAGAGGCAUGUCCAGUUGAUGCAAUUGUUGAAGGGCCCAACUUUGAGUUUGCUACUGAGACUCAUGAGGAGCUUUUAUAUGACAAAGAGAAAUUGCUUGAAAAUGAGGACAGGUGGGAACCAAGAUAGCUGAGAAUCUAAGAUCAGAGAGCUUAUAUUGUUACCGGUUAAACAGUGUUUGCCUUUCAUAAUGUUGUUAUUAGAAUAAACUGAAGGCGAUUCUGCAAUGUGUUUUGAUCAUGCCCUGUAAGAUCUACAUGCAUUGAGGCUCUAGAAGUUUCUAUGUUCAAUUGUUCAUCGUUGAUGAUAAUAAUGACUGCUGUGGCGUGUUUGGGGUUGGUCGUGUUCUACCCAGGGGCGGUUCUUAGAAGGGCACUGCCGCACUGGCAGGGCCACGGCCCGGGCAAGUUUUACGGCCGUAGUGCUAAUUUUCCGCAUUUCGAUCGAAAUUUUUUAUAUAUGCCCGGGCUUUUUUUAGUGCCCGUGUCUUUCGGCCCUGGCACAUUCAACGGGCAAGAUCCGCCACUGGUUCUACCCUGGAUUGGUCAACACUUUACUCUUCCGUACAUACUUUUAUAUAUUUAUAUACAUAGUCAUCAACAGAUUCAAUUAAUAAUGAGACCAAUAAAUAUAUAUUUAUCGGUAUCCUCAUUCCAGUUUGAGUUGAUUGUUCUUUAAGGUUAAGAGAAGAGUAAUCAGUUUUGAGUUAUUUUCUGAUUAAUAAGAUGGAGAGCUAUUUGAUUUUUAAUUUUGGUGCACGUUCAGCUGUUUGCUCUUAAGAACUAAGAAUUGAUGUCCACAUAAGUAGUGCAAGUUUAUAAUUAACCUUUGUGCAGACUUCUUGCAGCCUACUCGCAUGUGAAGGGGCAUGAACGAGGCAACUUGAACGUGACGUGCGUGCUUAAGCUGAAUUGUGAGGAGGGUAUAUCCACUUUUGCUUAUAUGUGAUUUCUUGUUUCUUGAGUUGCCAACCAUCUUGAUUGGUACAAGUUUUGGUCAUUGUUGUUUCACAACAAAUGUGUAGGCAAAUGAUGAUGAUUGCAACUAAACAUGGCAGAUGGUGGUCGGGCUUCUAAAGUGGCCUCAAGGGACUCUUUGCAUCCAAGAUUAGUGUUGGAUUGUAAUUAUUUAUUAUACAUGUAAGCAUUUUAGUUAUUUUUAUUGUAGUUAAUUUUUCGUA